GGACUACUGGGGUAUCUAAUCCUGUUCGCUCCCCACGCUUUCGCUCCUCAGCGUCAGGUAAGGCCCAGAGAACCGCCUUCGCCACCGGUGUUCCUCCCGAUAUCUGCGCAUUUCACCGCUACACCGGGAAUUCCAUUCUCCCCUACCUACCUCUAGUCUGCCCGUAUCCACUGCAGGCUCGGGGUUAAGCCCCGAGUUUUCACAGCGGACGCAACAGACCGCCUACGAGCUCUUUACGCCCAAUAAUUCCGGACAACGCUUGCGCCCUACGUGUUACCGCGGCUGCUGGCAC
rnacentral:rRNA from 1 species